GGAAGAUCGACUCGUCGUCAGAGGGCGGCGUGCGCACCGCGACUUCCUGCUGAGAACCUCGCCGCCAGGGGUCCGCGCGCAUCCUGUCGCUGUCGCUGUCGCUCGUCGCAUCAUGGACGCGAAGCACAAGCCGCCGACCGACCCUGAGCGGAGCGGUGGCCGGAGGCGGCGUGGAAGCGGGGUGUUCGGGAGGGACGCGGCGCGGCUGGACCGGAGGCUCUCCGCCUCUCAGCCCGACCUGCGCGCCCCUCGGCCGGUGCCCGAGGAGACGCCCGGAGAGGUGGAGGAUGUUGGGGAGUCGCAGGGCAGCCAGGCGUCCGCCGGCUCGGUGUCCCACGAUGCCACCCAGGAUGCAGAGGACAAACGACUGACGGACGGAGACCUGGGCAUCGAUGCAGGUACUGGAAGUAUUGCUCAGCCUGCGUUUCCCAGUCCAGGGAUGUACCAGCUGGACAUUGUGCUGAAAAGAGGACACAAUCUGGCAAUAAGAGACAGAGGAGGAACAAGUGAUCCAUAUGUCAAGUUUAAGGUCUCAGGUAAAGAAUUUUAUCGCAGCAAAAUCAUUUACAAGAACCUCAACCCAGUGUGGGACGAAAAGGUCCGACUCCUAGUUGACAGCCUUUAUGAACCCCUCUAUUUGAAGGUGUUUGACUAUGACUUUGGGCCUCAUGAUGACUUCAUUGGAUCUGCUCACCUCUACCUUGAAUCUCUAGAGCAUCACAGAGCUCUGAACUUAAUGCUUGACCUGAAGGACCCUAAUCUCCCACAGGAGGCCCUGGGUUCCCUUGAGCUAUCUAUCACAGUGACUCCUAAAGACAUUGAUGACAGCGAGGCUCAUCAACAGCAGCAGAUCCUUCGACUGUCAGACAUACACAGGAAGCCUCAACUGUUGAGUGGGAUAGUGAGCAUCAGUCUCAUUGAGGGUCAUGACCUCACACCCAUGGAUGAAAAUGGACUCAGUGAUCCUUAUGUGAAGUUCAAGCUUGGACAACAGAAGUAUAGGAGCAAGACAAUUUUCAAAACUCUAAACCCACAGUGGAGGGAGCACUUUGACCUGCAUAUGUAUGAAGAUGAGGGGAAGAUCCUAGACAUAUCACUGUGGGACAGAGACACAGGGAGAAGAGACGACUUCAUUGGCCAAUGCCAAGUAGACCUGUCCACGCUAAGUAAGGAGGUCACACAUAAGCUAGAUCUCCCUCUAGAGGAGGGCCAGGGUACACUGGUGCUGCUGGUGACCCUGACCGCAACCACGGCUGUUGCUGUCUCAGACCUCACCGUCAACAAUUUGGAUGACCCUGAUGAGCGGCAACAGAUUCUGAAGAGAUAUGUGAGUACUCUUAAUCUUCUCAGGUCUUUUCUUAACCUGAAGGACGUCGGUUUUGUUCAGAUCAAGGUCAUACGAGCGGAGGGACUGCUGGCAGCUGAUGUCACAGGAAAGAGCGACCCGUUCUGCGUGGUGGAGCUGUGCAACGAUCGGCUGAAGACACACACGGUCUACAAGAACCUCAGUCCGGAGUGGAAUAAAGUCUUCACCUUCAACAUUAAAGACAUCAACGCUGUGCUUGAGGUGACUGUGUACGACGAGGACCGGGACCGAAGUGCAGAUUUCCUGGGCAAAGUGGCCAUUCCUUUACUACAAAUUCACAACGGCGAACAGAAGGCCUACGUCUUGAAAAACAAGGAGCUGACAGGGCCAACAAAGGGGGUCAUCUUCCUCGAAACAGACGUCAUUUUCAAUGUGGUGAAGGCUAGCCUGAGGACCUUGAAGCCACUAGAACAGAAAUACAUUGAAGAUGAGCAGAAAGUCUCCAAACAGCUGUUGCAGCACCACUUUGCCCGGGCAAAGUGCUGCAUCAUGCUCCUAAUUAACAUGGGCUCCUACAUCAACAGCUGCUUCAAGUGGGAAUCUCCUCUGAGAAGUAUUUGUGCCUUUCUGAUCUUUGUUGUGGUUGUGUGGAACUUUGAAAUCUACAUGAUCCCACUCUCUUUACUGCUGCUCCUGGCAUGGAACUACCUCCUGCUGGCUUCUGGGUGGAAGUCCUCUGAGGGUGAUGUGGUGACUAUGGGCCUAUGUUUAAAUAUAAUUUAUGUUUCUCUGUGUGUGCCACAGGAAUCUGAGAAAAAAGGUUUAAUGGAAAGGUUGCAUGCCCUUCAGGACGUGUGCAUCACCAUUCAGAAUGGCUUGGACCAGAUCGCUUCCACCAGCGAGAGGAUAAAGAACGUUUUCAACUGGACCGUGCCUUUUCUCAGCUGGCUGGCCAUCACACUGCUGUGUGCGGCCACUGUGCUGAUCUACUUCAUCCCCAUCAGAUACCUUGUGUUGGCCUGGGGUAUCAAUAAAUUCUCCAAGAAGUUGCGUAGCCCCACUGAGAUAGACAACAACGAACUGCUAGACUUCCUCUCCAGGGUGCCAUCAGACAUGCAAGUGAUUCAGUACAGAGAGCUGAAACUGGACCAGAGUUCAAACAAGCGGCGACGAAAUAACCCAGGCUAGCCUCUGACCUUGCAGUUUUUUUUACUUUCAAUGUUCAGUACAAUGCUUCAUGAGCAAAAUGUAAUGUAAACAACACUGUAAAUGAUGUAAAGAUUUUAUGUGGUGUAUCGGUAGUACAGUCGUGGGCAAAUGUUUUGAGAAUAACACAAAUACUGGUUUUCACAAAGUUUGCUGUUUCAAUGUUUUAGAUAUUUUUGUCAGUUGUUUCUGUGGUGUAUCGAAGUAUAAUGUCAAGCAUUUUAUAAGUUUCAAUGGGUUUUAUUGACAAUUACAUCAAAGAGUCAAUAUUUCCUGGCCAUUGACCCAAAUUUUCAAUGUUUUGUUUAGUUAUCAUUUUGGCCUUAUGGCACAGUGCUCCAUCAUGCUGGAAAAGGCAUUGUUCUUCACCAAACUAUUCUCGGACCAAACUGUUGUACCAUUUUCUUGUUCUUUUUGUACCAUUCUUUAUUCAUGGCCGUGUCCCUUGGAUGAGAAGCAGCACCACACAUGAAUGGUCUCAGGAUGCUUUACUGUUGGCACAAGACAGGACUGAUGGUAGCGCUCACCUUUUCAUCUCCAGACAGUAAUUUUUCCAGAUGCCCCAAACAAUCAGAAAGGGGCUUCAUCAGAGAAAAUGACUUUACCCCAGUUCUCAGCAGUCCAAUCCCUGUACGUUUUGCAAAAUAGAAGUCUGUCCUUGACAUUUUUAUUGGAGAAAUGUGGCUUCUUUACUGCCCUUCUUGACACCAUGCCAUUCUCCAGUAGUUUUCGCCUCACUGUGUGUGCAGAUGCAGAUGACUGCUGCCAUUCCUGAUCAAGGUCUGAACUGAUGGUACCCUGAUCCCACAACUGAAUAAUCUUUAGGAGACGGUCCUUGCUGGACUUUCUUGGGCAACACUUGAACCUCUCUCCUUGAAGUUGAUGAUCCAAUAAAUGGUUGGUUUAGGUGCA
ensembl:lncRNA